UCAAAUCAUGAAAGAGCCAUACCUUUACACAUUCCAGCAAAUGAUAUCGAAAGAAUGAACUUACAGUCACAUAUACCAUUACAAUAACAGAAAUUCAGCAGAAAUCACCAUUCAACUAAUAAACAGCAAUGCGCCCCACCUAACAAAUGCUAUUAGAAAUCAGGGUAAGCAGCUACUAUUUUAGCAAAUUAAUUAGAAUCCAUAGUUUCAUACAGAUUACAGAGGUAAACACGCGUCCUAGAAAGACAGUCUCAACAGCAUCGACAUAUUGUCACAACAUGAAUUCGUCACCACUCCUGACUCCCGAGCAUGCGAACAACAGGACCACACAAACCAGAAGCUUGCGAAGAGAAUUGACAAAUUAGUGUUUUAAUCUCCAGGAACACAUAGAACUUUCCCCACCAAGCAGCGGUGCACAUAAAAUUCAAUACAUAGUUCCAAUAUGGACAAGCUUCAUAACAUCUGGAACAACCCCUUGGCCUUGCUUUCGUGAUCGAGUGAUGAAAAGAUAUUGUCAACUUUUUUAAGGUUGUUGCCCAACCGAAUAACCGUUGCACAAAAUCACGUUCAUGUUCAGUUCCUGAUAAUUCACUAAUUUCUACUUCUUAGAGGCGAUCGAGCACAAGUUUAUCAGUUUUACAGUGUGUUGGCUGAUCACAAAUGCAACUCGAUGGGCAUGGAGUCUGUGCCUGAAGUGAGUAGCAUAUCAACUUUGUAAGAUUAACCAAUACAUUUCAUGGCGAAAAAGAGAUGAAUGAUAAAUUAUCAGACUGCCUGAGUACUUUGACAUGCAUCAGCACAAUUUACAAAAGAACAUCGGGAAAUAGUUUAAAGCUAGGAUACUACAGAAAAUAUGUUUGUUCUGUAAAAGAGAUGGUACGACAAACACUAUUAUAGAAGUCACAUAAAUUCUUAAGCAUGAUAAUGUUCAGCUCUACCUUUGGACUUCACUGUCAAUGAAACCUCUUAAAAAAGAUAUCGUAACUAAUAAAAUUUUCUCCAAGUACUUACUCUAAUUGUGUCAUCAAGAUUGAGCCUGCCAGGCAAUAAAGCACCAUAUAUCCUCACAUACAUUAGAAAAUAGUACGUCACUUUGCUAAACUUGAAGAUGGAAGUAUUAGCACUUACAUGAGCCAUAGAAUUUCCAUGGUUAAAGUUUGAAGACAAGGUAUUAGUAUUAAACCAACACCUAGAGUAGAGAAACUGGCAAUCAAGUCUAGGUAUGCCUGAAAGUGCAAGCGCGUAUUGUUUUUAUGUCACUAACCUGAUAACUCAAGCAUUAUAAGUGCUUUACAAAGAUAUAAACAAAUUAAGGAUAGUUUUAAGUGUCAGCCUUCUUACACCAGUGCACACUUCCAGAAUGUGGAAUGAGCUGGCGCCAAAGCAAUGUCCGUGUGACAUCACAGCCAGGGGCAAGCAUGUAAGUCAGGGAGCCUUGUCAUGUCUUCUAUCAAGUAUCGAUCGUUGCCUAUAUCCUGCAAAACUACUAUGCUGAGGACAUGCAUUUGGAAAAAUCAACUGCUGAACUGGUGCUUUUCCAGGGUAAAGAAACAUAUAUCCAGUUUUAAAGGUUUUUUCCUUCCAACAUAAUGAAAGGCAAUAUGAUAUCGAGUUCUUUUGAACAUGUAUUCACCAUUCUGAACAAACAUUGGCAAGAUGCUACCCCAAGGUGCCCAAAUAAUAAGUAAAGCAUGACUAACAAACAUGGUACGAUGGCACUAACAAGUUGGGAAGUGUCGUGGUUCUAAGCCUGACAGUAGAGNNNNNNNNNNNNNNNNNNNNNNNNNNNNNNNNNNNNNNNNNNNNNNNNNNNNNNNNNNGUAGGUAUGGAGAGGCAAGGUCCUAGCUAUGGAGAGGUUGUAAACACAAGAGAUGUACGAGUUCAGGCCCUUCUCGGAGGAAGUAAAAGCCCUACGUCUCGGAGCCCGGAGGCGGUCGAGUGGAUUAUAUGUAUAUGAGUUACAGGGUGCCGAACCUUUCUGCCUGUGGAGGGGGGUGGCUUAUAUAGAGUGCGCCAGGACCCCAGCCAGCCCACGUAGGAGAGGGUUUAAGGUGAGUUAAGUCCGGGGCGUUACUGGUAACGCCCCACAUAAAGUGUCUUUACUAUCAUAAAGUCUACUUAAUUACAGGCCGUUGCAGCGCAGAGUGCCUCUUGACCUUCUGGUGGUCGAGUGAGUCUUCGCGGUCGAGUCCUUCAAGGCAGUCGAGUGUGUCUCUCGUUGGUCGACUGGAAGGUGACCUCUUCUAAGGGUGUCCUUGGGCAGGGUACUUAGAUCAGGUCUGUGGCCCUACCCUAGGUACAUGACCCCAUCAUUAGCCCCCGAAUGGAUUGAGGCUUCGAGUGAGGAAGGAGUUGAUGUUGUUUCCGAUUAACUUUUGCACACUGGUCGUGCGUUGUUCUGGACCAAAGAAUCUCUUCGUUGGUAGUGAGCAACUUGUCUUCAGUCGACUCGAUCCAUUCUCUUCUUUCGUCGAGUGAUCUUUCGGGCUUCGACGAUUUCCGAGCGACGGAUCACAGGAAACCCCGCGUCUGACAGACCGAUCUGCCGUUCGCGGAUUCCGCGGGAUGUGAAAUUUUGGGGAAGCGCGCGAAGCGGAGCAGGCCGCGGCGUUCGGAUGGGACGGGACAUAGACGCCUCGAUCCCCGCGCCGCUUUCUUCGCCACGUAUCCCGCCUGCAUAACGGUUUCUGGAUAUGAUUAGAUCGACCGGGCCCACCUGUCAUCCACUCGGAAGGGACCUUAUAAAUACGCCCGGCGAGGGUUUUUUGUACAGUGCCUCAGCAUUCUCUUUCUCUGCUCCCUUCGUCUCCGUCCAGCGCGCUCGCUCUCGCCUCCGCACAACUUCUCCUCGCGCGUCUCACCGGCAACCAUGGCCAAGGAGAAGACGGCGGCGCUGGAACGCGCGAAGAAGGCGUCGGCGACGGAGAAGGCGAAGGGGAGAUCCACCAGCCACGGCGGGUCUUCGUCUAGAUCCCGCCUGCCGAAGGGCUGGGUCCAAGGAGAUUGGAUCCAGUCGACCAUCACGGAGAAAGAUCUCCUCGACAUGGCCAACGAGGGCCUGAUCCCUCAUGGAGCUGCGAGGCUUCCGGGGAAGGAGUGGCAGCCCCAGCCAGAAGAGGGUGAGUGCGUGCUCCUGGCUACCCAUGUCGACCGUGGAUUUUCUUUGCCGCCGAGUAUUUUCUUUCGUGGUUUCUUGAACUUCUUUGGAGCGCAACUCCAUCACUUUACCCCAAAUUCUAUCGCCUAUCUUGCCGCGUUCGUGUCCAUGUGUGAGGGUUUUCUGGGCUGUCGACCGCACUGGGGCUUGUUCAAGCAUAUAUUCACGUGUCGCUCUCAGACCGUGAAGAAAGCGAGCCCAGGCGACGAAAGGACCCGAGUUGUCCAAAUGUGUGGGGGCCUGGGGAUCCAGGUGAGGAAUAAGAGCACCUUCCCAGCCAUGACUUUUCCCGAGUCAGUCAGAGGCUGGCAGUCGACCUGGUUCUACUGCCAGGAUCAGUCGACGCCGGGGCAGUCGAGUGGACUCCCUCAAUUUACCAUGGACCGAGUGAACAAGCCCUCCUCUCUGAAGUUGAUUCCGGAGGAGAAAGCUGACGUGAAGAUGUUGAUGGAGCGCGUAGUACAGUUGGUUCGGGAGGGAGUGACGGGCAUGGAUCUCCUGGAGGUUUUCCUUAGGCGUCGUAUCCAGCCCCUUCAGUUCCGGAGCCACUGCAUGUGGUUGUACUGUGGGACUGAGGACGAGACUCGGGUCCAUCCAGAAGCAGUCGACGAUGUCACUCUGGAAAGGUGGAUGGCUGCCGUUACCGGAAACAAGGAUAACCCACGCGGAGCCAGAAGGAUUCCUCCACUCGACCACCACAGUGAUCCAAACAAGGUAUGCCUGCUCUGCUCUUCACUGUUUUCUUGUCAUAUUCAUUUCUGUUUAUUCUGCCAAUCGGUCGAUUGAUCUUUGUCUUGAUGUCUAUCAGGCCCUCACCGAGCUGUACUCGAUGCCCAAUGGAGCAUAGGCUCCGACUGAGGAGGGUGAGGCGAGUGGGGGCGAGAGCCAGGAGGAGGAGUGGGACUCAGACGUUGCUGAGGAUGAUGACGACGAUGACGACGAUGACGGUGAUGAAGAUGAUGCUGAAGACGAGGAAGAAGAGGAGGAGGAGGUCGUACCACCGCGCUCGGAAAGGCGGUCGAAGCUUGUCCACGACCCUGCGACUGAACGUGGCAAGGGGGUUGCGACCGUUGCUCAGUCGACCAAGCGCCCUCGAACCACCUCUCCGGCGCCGACUGAAAAGGCGUCGAAUCAGCCCAGGGCGGCUUCGUCAAAGCCGACCAAGCUCCUGCCGAAGAUGAAGGUGUCCAUCCCCACCAUAUCAGGGUAAUCAUGCUGCUUAAGACUUCCUAUUUUGUGUGAACUUUGUCUCUGGUUGGCUCUGGAGUUAGUCGACUGAUUCUUUGGAGUUGCAGUGCUGCUACUUCUGAGACCUCAGCCCGGGCUGAUGACCAUGAGAUGGAGGACGCAGCAACCUCAAAACCAGGUACUAUACUCUUAACGCCGUUUUUAGUCGACUGACUCAUGAUCUCUAAUCCUGAUUCUUUUCUGUAGCUCCACCGAAUGUUGUUAUCACUCUCCCUGAUGAUGAAGAUGAGGAACCGCUGAAGCACAGAAGGAGUAGGAAAACGUCUGCCAGCAGGGUGCCCCAGGAUGUGACGGUGCCUGAGACUCUGGUUGCGGAGGAGGAGAACACCACUCGACACACUGUGUCCUCCGCAGAUCCACUGACGAGUGCUCAGCAGCCCUCCCUCUUCACGACGCACCAUGUCCCAGAGGACCAAGCUGGCGCCGCGAAGGAGGCGAUACGCCAGGCAGGGAUCAUGAUGGAGCAGUUAAGGACCAUCCGGGAUGCGAGCCAGGCAGCUUACGACGCUAGUUCCGCCCUUCAAAGCAAUGUUCAGGUCAGUCGACCACCGCCUGUUCUGUUAAGAUAUGCUAUCAAAAACUUUUCUUUCCAGAAUUUAUAGUAGUCACCCAGUGGGUGUGUCGACUUAGACUCCGUGUUAGCGGGGGCACGCUGAGUGCACCCGCUGGGUGUAGUCCCCAAGGCUAAGGUCGACUGCUGGCAGUCGGCUUUAGGUUUUAUAAUUUCAGUCUUUGCGUCAUUCGACUAUGUCGAAUGGAUUUCGCAAACUGGUGGGGGCACGCUGAGUGCACCCACUGGGUGUAGUCCCCGAGACUGUGGUCGACUGCUUGUAGUCGAUUACAGUCUUAAAGAAUACAUCUCUCUCUCUUUUUUUUUGAGGUCGACUGGUCGACUCUAUCUUCGAUAGGAUUAGUGGGGGCACGCUGAGUGCACCCACUGGGUGUAGUCCCCGAGACUACGGUCGAAUGCUUGUAUUCGGCUGUAGUCUUAGAAACGUGUGAUUUUUCCUUUUUCACUCGGAAGUGAAUUAUAUUUGACAUUUAGUCGAUUGGUUCUUCGCGGAACUCCUGUGAUCUUGUGGCUUGCUACUCUGAGCUGGAAAACAAGCACGUUCAGCUCGAGCUGAAUUUGAAGCUGGUUCAGGAGAAACUGACGAAGGCAAAGGAGGAGACCGAAGGUAUGUUUGGUGAGACCUUGACGACUGAUUUUCCCCUUCGUUUGUUUCAAAAUCUUAUCUUGCUGUAACUUGCAGGUAAGGUAAGGGAGGCCCAACAGAAAAAAGACCUUGAACUAGCUGAGAAGAUCAAGCUCGCUGACGAGAAGCUAGCUUCAAUCACCAAGCUUGAACAAGACAAUACCAAUCUGAAAGCUGCUCUUGGGAUUGCCAACAAGGAAGUCAGUCGACUGAAAACUGAUAAAACUGCCCUGACCGACCAAGUCAGUAAGUUGACUGGGAAGAAAAAUGAUCUGGAGGCCUUCCUGAGUGGUCUUGCCAAGAAGCUGUUUCUUAUGCUUGAAGGUAAACCUCUAUGCUCGGCAAUCAUUUCCAAUCGUGAUUUUUUCAUUCGACCAUCGCCUUGACUCGGUGAUCGUCCUUGCAGAAUUUUGUCAAAACUUUGAAGAAGAAACUAGCCGGCUGGAACCAAACCUCGACCCCGUCAAUUCCCCGGUGAACGACGAAGUUGCCAUGAAUGUUUUCCGACUGGAGUCCCGUGUUGCAGCUGCCGUGGACUAUCUUGCAAGGCUGAAGGUCGCCACAUCUCGCAUCGACUCGACGCUCUGGCCCGGGGAGACACUUCAAAAUGACCUUGAGUCGCUGAUGGCUCGCUUGAACACGAUCCCUGGUCGAGUGCAGGAGUGGAAGAAGUCCUCGGCUCGGUGCGGUGCAGAUGUUGCUCUGUGUCUGGCCCGAGUCCACUGCAAAGAUGCGCAAGAAGAGAAGCUGGUGGCCCUCCGGGUGGCCAACACCAAGAAACACGACUUCAGGUCCUUUAUGGAAACUUUCCUUGCGGCUGCCACUCGGAUCGCAGAUGGAAUUGAUCUUGAUGAGUUCGUUGCACCUUCCAGCCCUCCACGGGAGGGGUAAAAAACUUCUUCUAAGCUCGACGCUUUAAAUUUGCCUCGGUAUGCCGAGUGGAGCUGUAACCGAUAAACCCUAACGGGCUUAGCACCCGAGCACUUUCGGUUCCUUUAGAUAUCGAUCCGAACUUGAAUUUGUCGUUUGAAUAUGAUUGCUUUUGGCUCGAAAUGUCUUUUGCAGGUUCAAAGUAGGGCGCUUACUGCAAUCGACUUAUUCCUUAGUCCACUUAGGUGAGCGCUGGGCUGCAGCUAAGCCCCCGAGUGGAAGUCUGGCUUACCACUCGGCAGGAUUUUCAUAACUUAGGCGAGUACUUGGACUGCAGCUAAGCCUCCGAGUGGAAGUCUGGCUUACCACUCGGUAGGAUUUUUAUAACUUAGGCGAGUACUUGGACUGCAGCUAAGCCUCCGAGUGGAAGUCUGGCUUACCACUCGGUAGGAUUUUUAUAACUUAGGCGAGUACUUGGACUGCAGCUAAGCCUCCGAGUGGAAGUCUGGCUUACCACUCGGCAGGAUUUUUAUAACUUAGGCGAGUACUUGGACUGCAGCUAAGCCCCCGAGUGAGAGGUUUGCUCUUCACUCGGUAGGAUUUUUGUAACUUAGGCGAGUACUUGGACUGCAGCUAAGCCCCCGAGUGAGAGGUUUGCUCUUCACUCGGUAGGAUUUUUGAUUACUUAGGCGAGCACUGGGCUGCAGCUAAGCUCCCGAGUGGAAAUCUGGCUUACCACUCGGCAGGAUUUUUAUAACUUAGGCGAGUACUUGGACUACAGCUAAGCCUCCGAGUGAGAGGUUUGCUCUUCACUCCGUAGGAUUUUUGAUUACUUAGGCGAGUACUUGGACUGCAGCUAAGCCUCCGAGUGGAAGUCUGGCUUACCACUCGGCAGGAUUUUUAUAACUUAGGCGAAACGGAUUCGCAGCUAAGCCUCCGAGUGGGAGUCUGGCUCACCACUCGGUAGGAUUUUUAACAAACUUAGGCGGAACGGAUUCGCGGCUAAGUCACCCACUGAGGGGAAAUUUUAUUAGACAAAAUGAAAAGCGACAAAAAUUAUGGAGGAACUAUGACACUAUUAUUUUGAGGUCCAUGAACUACAGAAGUACUUUAUUGCAACUCAUCCGAGUGAUAAAACUUAAGUGUAAAAUGGGCGGAGUAGUUCCGCGUUCCAAGCUCGGGACUCGUCGAUAUUAUGCUCGACGUUGUAAAGACGGUACGCCCCGUUGUGGAGAACCUUGGUGACGAUGAAGGGACCUUCCCAAGGAGGAGCAAGCUUGUGUGGUUUGUGCUGAUCCAUUCGGAGAACCAAAUCUCCUUCCUGGAAGGCUCGACCUCUCACAUUUCUGGCGUGGAAACAACGCAAAUCUUGUUGGUAGAUGGUCGACCGGAUUAGAGCCAUCUCCCUUUCUUCCUCUAAAAGGUCGACUACGUCCUGCCGCGCUUGUUCAGCUUCUGCUUCGUUGUAGAUUUCAACUCGAGGAGCAUUGUGGAGAAGAUCACUCGGCAAGACUGCUUCAGCUCCGUAGACCAAGAAGAAUGGAGUUCUUCCGGUCGACCGAUUAGGUGUGGUCCGCAGUCCCCAAAGCACUGAGGGAAGUUCGUCGACCCAAGCUCCAGCUGCAUGCUUGAGAUCACGCAUUAGUCGGGGUUUCAAUCCCUUGAGAAUCAGGCCAUUGGCUCGCUCUGCUUGUCCAUUCGACUGCGGAUGGGCGACUGAAGCGUAGUCGACCCGUGUGCCUUGAGAGUUACAGAAAUCUCUGAAUUCCUCCGAGUCAAAGUUCGACCCAUUAUCCGUAAUGAUGCUGUGCGGGACUCCAUAUCUGAAUAUUAGUUCCCUGAUGAAGCUAACAGCAGUACCGGCGUCAAGGUUCUUGAUUGGUUUAGCCUCAAUCCACUUGGUGAACUUGUCGACUGCCACCAGUACAUGCGUGACUUCGCCCUGUUCUCAAAGGACCGACCAUGUCCAACCCCCAUACUACGAAAGGCCAGACGAGUGGAAUGGUCUUCAGGGCUGAUGCAGGCUUGUGCGACAUAUUCGAGUAAAACUGACAUCCCUCGCACUUAUCCACUAUCUCCUUUGCCAUCUCAUUCGCCUUUGGCCAGUAAAAUCCGGCUCGGUAUGCUUUGGCCACGAUGGUCCGAGAGGACGCGUGAUGACCACAGGUCCCCGAGUGAAUAUCAUUAUGGAUGAUUCGACCUUCUUCCGGCGUUAUGCACUUCUGACCGACUCCAGUCGCGCUUUCUCUGUAUAACUGUCCUUUGAUUACGGUAAAGGCCUUAGAUCGGCGGACGAUCUGUCGAGCCUCUUCCUCAUCCUCCGGGAGCUCUUUUCUCAGGAUAUACGCGAUAUAUGGAACCGUCCAAUCGGGAAUGACCACCAAGAUCUCCAUGACCAAGUCGACCACCGCUGGGACUUCAACCUCAGUCGGAUCUGUGGCACUCUUGGGCUGUGGAGCUUCUUCGGUGAAAGGAUCUUCUUUGACUGACGGAGUGUGUACAUGCUCCAAGAACACACCACUCGGAAUGGCUUCUCUCUUGGAACCUAUCUUUGCUAGAUCAUCAGCUGCUUGAUUUUUCAGUCGGGGUAUAUGAUGGAGUUCCAACCCCUCGAACUUUUUUUCCAGCUUCCUCACUGCAUUGCAGUAUCCAGUCAUGGCUGGGCUUCUCACGUCCCACUCCUUCAUCACUUGAUUGACCACUAAAUCCGAGUCGCCAUAGACCAUCAGGCGACGGACGCCGAGUGAAAUGGCCAUGCGCAACCCAUAUAAGAGGGCCUCAUAUUCUGCCUCAUUGUUGGAGGAAUCAAAGUGAAUCUGGAGCACAUAUCUGAGCUUAUCUCCUAUGGGGGAAACCAGGACAACCCCAGCACCGGAACCAUUCAACAUCUUAGAGCCAUCAAAGAACAUGGUCCAAUGCUCCGAGUGAACUUCAGUCGGCUGCUGCUGUUCAAUCCACUCGGCGAGGAAAUCUGCUAUUGCCUGGGACUUAAUGGCUUUCUUUGCCUCAAACUUGAUAUCAAGGGGAAGAAGUUCAAUCGCCCAUUUGGCCACUCGACCAGUUGCAUCUCUGUUGUGCAAAAUCUCUGAUAGUGGAGCGUCGCUGACGACUGUGAUGGAAUGAUCAGAGAAAUAAUGAGCAACCUUCUUUGUGGUCAUGUAUAUUCCAUACACAAGCUUCUGAUAAUGAGGAUAUCUCUGCUUUGAUGGAGUCAAGACUUCAGACAAAUAAUACACUGGGCGCUGAACUUUGAGAGCUUUUCCUUCUUCUUCCCGCUCGACCGUUAGCACAGUACUGACGACUUGUCCUGUGGCUGCGAUAUAGAGCAACAGAGGCUCUUUGCUGAUUGGAGCAGCAAGCACCGGCUGGGUGGAGAGCAGAGCUUUUAGCUCGGCAAACGCUGCAUCAGCUUCUGGAGUCCACUCGAACUUGUCUGCCUUCUUCAUCAGUCGGUAAAGAGGCAAUGCCUUUUCACCGAGUCGUGAGAUGAAUCGACUUAAUGCGGCCAAGCAUCCAGUAAGCUUCUGGACAUCGUGCACUCACACAGGGCGUUUCAUUCGGAGAAUAGUGCCGAUCUUCUCUGGAUUAGCGUCGAUUCCUCGUUCGGAAACGAGAAAACCGAGUAACUUGCCACCAGGAACUCCAAAUGUGCACUUUGAUGGAUUGAGCUUGAUAUCAUACCUUCUGAGGUUGGCAAAUGUUUCGGCGAGAUCAGCGAGCAGGUCGGAACCUUUUCGUGACUUGACAACGAUAUCAUCCAUAUAUGCUUCCACAUUCCGACUGAUUUGAGUGAGUAGACACUUCUGAAUCAUUCGCAUAAAUGUGGCUCCGGCAUUCUUGAGGCCGAAUGGCAUGGUGAUAUAGCAGAAGCACCCGAAUGGAGUGAUGAAAGCUGUUUUUACCUCGUCGGGUCCGUACAGACGGAUCUGGUGGUACCCGGAGUAGGCGUCUAGAAAAGACAGUCUCUCGCAUCCCGCGGUCGAGUCAACAAUUUGAUCUAUGCGAGGGAGAGGAAAAUGAUCUUUCGGGCAGGCCCGGUUGAUGUGCUUGAAAUCAAUGCACAUUCGGAGUGAUUUGUCUUUCUUAGGGACCAUGACGACAUUAGCGAGCCACUCGGAGUGGUAUAUCUCUCGGAUAAAUCCUGCCGCCAACAGUCGAGCCACUUCCUCACCAAUGGCUUUUCUCUUCUGGACGGCGGACCGCCGAAGAUGCUCUUUAACUGGUUUUGCAGAUGAGUCGACUCUUAGGCGAUGCUCAGCCAGUCCCCUGGGAACACCUGGCAUGUCAGGGGCUUCCAUGCAAAAAUGUCCCAAUUCUCACGGAGGAACUGGAUGAGCGCUUCUUCCUAUUUUGGGUCGAGUGUUGUGGAGAUGCGGGUCGGAGCUGCAUCGGGGUCGGUUGGGUGAAUGUGAACAGGCUUCGUCUCACCGGACGACUGAAAUGCAGACUCUGUGGCGGGUUUCUUGGAUCGCAGCAAGUCACUCGGAUCUGCGUUUUGCUUGUAUUCUUCGAACUCGACCGCUGUCACCUGGGAAUCAGCAAUCUUUGAGCCUUUCUGGAAGCACUCUUCUGCCUUUUUCCGAUCACCGGUGACAGUGAUCACUCCUUUGGGGCCGGGCAUCUUCAAUUUGAGGUACACGUAACAUGGUCGAGCCAUGAACCGCGCAUAAGCUGGUCUCCCCAAAAUGGCAUGAUAUGCACUCUGAAAAUCCACGACCUCGAACGUCAACUUCUCUUUGCGAAAAUGUUUCGAAUCACCAAACACCACGUCCAGAGCUAUUUGACCGAGUGACUCGGCUUUCUUUCCUGGUAUAACUCCAUGAAAGCUCAUGUUACUGGUGCUCAGUCGGGACAUCGGAAUGCCCAUUCCUUUCAGUGUGUCUGCAUACAGCAAAUUCAACCCACUACCACCGUCCAUAAGCACUUUUGUCAGUCGAGUGCCUUCAACAACUGGAUCGACCACCAAAGCUUGCCUCCCAGGGGUGGCAAUAUGAGUCGGGUGAUCAGAUUGGUCGAAGGUGAUGGGUGUUUGGGACCAUUUCAGAUAGUUUGCUUUUGCUGGGGCAACCAUGUUCACCUCACGGUUAAUAACUUUCAAUCGACUCUUGCUCUCCACAUCUGCAAAGAUCAUUAGAGUAGAGUUGAUAUGGGGAUAUCCUUCCUCAUUGUCCUCCUUGUCUUCGACCUUGUCCGACUCCUUCUCCUUGUUAUUAGAUUGUUUUCCCUGAAACUGCUGGAUCAGGAGUCGACAUUGGCGAGUGGUGUGCUUCGGGUAGAUGAUAUUCCCCUCUUCGUCUUUCUUCGUGUGGAUGUGACACGGCAUAUCCAUCACAUCGUUCCCUUCUUUAUCCUUUACCUUCUUAGGGUUCCAGGAUCCUUUUGGUUUCCCUUUAAACUUUCCCUGAGUCACGGCCAGAGCCUCUCCAGGAGCUGCCGGUUCAGCCUUCCGCUUCUGUUUCCGACUGGUGUUUCCCUUUUCCGACUGACUCGGCUUGUGCUUGCCGCUUCGGAGUCGGUCUUCUUCUUCGCCGUUGGCGUACUUGGUAGCAAUCUCCAUCAUCCGACUCAAGGUCAUGUCACCGGUUCGACCAAACUUCAAGCUCAAUUCUCUGUUCUUGACGCCAUCUUUAAAGGCGCAGACUGCCUGAUGAUCAGACACAUUCUCCACAGUAUGGUGCAAAGUGAUCCAUCUCUGAAUAUACUCUCUGAGAGUCUCAUUGGUCUUCUGCACGCAGACUUGCAACUCCGUCAGUCCAGCCGGUCGCUUGCAAGUUCCUUCAAACGUUCUCAUGAACACUCGGGACAGAUCUUCCCAAGUGUAAAUCCUGCUAGGAGGUAAUUGAGUCAACCAUGCCCUGGCAGAACCUUCCAGCAUGAGGGGCAAAUGCUUCAUGGCCACCUCGUCGUUCCCACCACCAAUCUGAACCGCCACUCGGUAGUCCUCAAGCCAAGUUUCAGGCUUAGACUCACCGGUGAACUUGCUGACUCCUGUUGCCAACCUGAAAUUGGGAGGGAUAACUGCGGCUCUGAUAGCUCUGCUGAAACAUUCAGGACCAGAAACAUGCACUCGACUGCUCGUGGGUGCAUCUCUGUCGAGUCCGCCUCGAUGGGCUCUGUUCCGGUCGACCAAACCUUGCACGAUAAUGGAUCGCGCGUCGAAGCCUGGUUCUCUGGGGUCGACUGGAACUCUUCGCCCCGUACUGAACUGACGCCUGUCAUCUUGCUGCCGAGGAGCGUAAGACCCACCCCUCGGAGGGGAAUUGGGCACUCGACGCCUAUCAUCUCGGUCGAGUCGGUCACCAUAUUGGUCUCGUCGAUUCUCGCGCCCUUCACGCCGCGGAGGCGAUCUGGGACUGUGAGCCGACUGAACCCUAUUCGCAGCGACGGAUCGACUGUGAAUUCUGUUGCGCGACUGCGACACGGCCGAAUUCUGAUCUCCUGCUGCCCGGAGCAGAUCCCUGAUCUGCAUCAAGCCUCUGCCAGCUUCCGACUGAGAGGGUUGGAUGGACUCUGCUAUACGGGUCGCGGCUGCUAAAUUCUGGAUUGGGGUUCGAUAUAUUUGAGUCAGCGGGAAGAGUUGACGUCGACUGGUGUCGGGAAUUCGUUGCCGCGCGCGCUCGUCAAGUGCUCGCUAAAGAUUCUCCAGUCGAGUGUGUUCGGCCAAAUUGGCCAAACGUACCUCCUCCAAGGCGCGAGCCUCGGGGGUUUCUCCUGCGAUGGGAGUACGCAGAACAUCCACGUUCCUGCGGCGAAGUUCCUCUCUUUGCAGAGAGUCGAGUGGCUCGGGCUGGUACUCUUCGUGGUCUCGUGCGGGGUCGCCUCCGUCGCCUGCUCCACCAUCACGGGCGAAGCCAGGGGGACUGCGGGGCCCGUCGACCAUCAGAAUUUCUGCCGCUGGAUCACUGCUAUCGCACUCGGAUGCGGUCUCUACGGAACCAGUCGACAGAUCGAACAGGCCGUAGAGAGAUUCGUCGGGCUCGAUUGCCGCAACUUGGGUGGUGGCCGUCUGGCGAGCCACCGCGUGCCUCACCCACCGCUGAAUCCUCGACCGGCCCGAGCGCUUGCGCUGACGGGAGACCGGGAGGGUGGUCGAUGGGGAUGUCGACCGAUGCGGGGUCGACGGUUGCCGCAGCAGAAUGCCGCGGACACAUGCGCGAAAAUGUGUCGCACCGCGGACGGGGAGCGCAUCAACGUCGAGUGGAGCCUCCUGGAGCCAGGCGGAGUCGUCGGCGAUGAAGGUGAGAGCGCCGAGACGGAUCUCUCGACCCUCGACCAAAAAUCCAGCAGCCACCAUGAUGAAAGUACUCGGAAGAAUCGCAACUUCUCCACAAAAUUGCUAAAACACCUGCCCCACGGUGGGCGCCAACUGUCGUGGUUCUAAGCCUGACAGUAGAGUGGGGGUAGGUAUAGAGAGGCAAGGUCCUAGCUAUGGAGAGGUUGUAAACACAAGAGAUGUACGAGUUCAGGCCCUUCUCGGAGGAAGUAAAAGCCCUACGUCUCGGAGCCCGGAGGCGGUCGAGUGGAUUAUAUGUAUAUGAGUUACAGGGUGCCGAACCUUUCUGCCUGUGGAGGGGGGUGGCUUAUAUAGAGUGCGCUAGGACCCCAGCCAGCCCACGUAGGAGAGGGUUUAAGGUGAGUUAAGUCCGGGGCGUUACUGGUAACGCCCCACAUAAAGUGUCUUUACUAUCAUAAAGUCUACUUAAUUACAGGCCGUUGCAGCGCAGAGUGCCUCUUGACCUUCUGGUGGUCGAGUGAGUCUUCGCGGUCGAGUCCUUCAAGGCAGUCGAGUGUGUCUCUCGUUGGUCGACUGGAAGGUGACCUCUUCUAAGGGUGUCCUUGGGCAGGGUACUUAGAUCAGGUCUGUGGCCCUACCCUAGGUACAUGACCCCAUCAGGAAGUGCACACAAAAUUAAAAUGAUGUGCAUGUGUGCAGUAAGGGAAAAAGGAUUCAGCGGGUCACAAUUUCUAAAAAAUAAACAGCCCAGAAAAACCAUUGAAAAAUCAUUCUUUUGCGGAGAAGAAAAUACAUGUUCAUCCUAGUGAAGCACUACUAAUUAAUAAAUACUACAAAAUCAAUAGCUGAUAAUAAUGUAGUAAUAAUGAACUAAUGAUUUUCAUUUAGCGCAUGAACAUUGAAUUUAUUUAUUGUAUUGAAGGGAGGAUAUUUCCUUUGACGAGAGGAAUAACUAACAUAUGCAAACUUCUUAUGCAAAUAAGUAUAUAUUAAAACACUAAUAACACUGUAUAGAACAACCUGAAAGACAUUGAGCUCCACAUCGCCGAGAGCUCCAUCCCUGUCGUGGUAAAAAGAUAUAAAAAAGAUGCAGAAGAUAAGCAUUGUUUAAUUAAAUAUUUCCAUGGACAAAUCACCAACAUUAUAUAGAAGGUAACAUACUUAAUAUACUGAUAUAUGGGAUAAAACGAAACCAUACUUCCCAUAAUAGUUUAUGAGAUGAUGGGAAAUGGCGACAGCUUAAUGUAUGCGUUGCCCGAUGCACACAAAACAGUCCAAAAUACUUUUGUAGAAGUUGUACUCAUGUUGUCUUGUACAAACACAGUAACACGUAAGAACAUUUAGGCUUGUAUAAAAAAACAGUUCAGAAUUUAGGCUUCAAAGAUUACAAGGAACCGAGGAAGGCAUACCAUUGAGCUGCAUUGCAUGUCUUCAAUGUUCAGAUCUUAUACACGCCAUGCUUCUGCUAUCCAAUCCCCAGCUGAUCGUGGCUUCAGAAAACCUGAAAUUGGAUAUCACAUUUCUUUCAGCAAUGGAUGAAACUGCAUUCAUCUGAAUGUAUAUACAUCUCAAAUUUCAUAGAACAGUUUCACUCUCAAUGGGAGAAGCAAUCUCAGAAGGGGAUGCGGGGUGGCCAGGUGAGAUGCAGCGUGUCAAUUGUCGGGAGGGGGUGCAAAGGCCUUCCUACAAGACAAUAAGGCCAUCAAGCAAAAAAAUGCAAUUAGUUACUGUUGGUCAUCUAUUACUCAUGCUAGCUUAUCUCCUGGGAAAAAGUACUACAAAAUCUCCAAGUGUUCAUAGACGCAACCAGACUUCAGUUAUCCGUUGACACAUAGCGAGUACUCCUAAAGCAGUAAAACAAAAAUUACCUAUUUGGGUUGAUCGUUUGUGAAACAUGGAAAAGAAAAGCAUAAAAAAACAAGAGCUCCAAAGGCACAAAAAAGAAAAUCAUAAAACUAUGUUGAGGCUAACCUCAGGAUCAUGCAGUGUGGCACACAAGAAAUUCCAUGAGGCAGCGGCAAGGUAAUAACGCUCAGGAUCAUGCCAUGUAGUAGUCCAAGAAGUACGAAGAGUGUUUCAUUGCAAUUCAGUAGAAUAAUUACUAUUCAAUGGCUAAACUGUCCACUUUUGCACUAUCUGGGGAAUUUAUAUUGUAAUCACCAAACAAUAUAAGGCGGACAAGGUCGCACCAAUAUAAAAAAACAACAAAUAUGUCCAAAGUCAAGAUUUCGAUGAAAAGAAAAAUAUCACAAUAACACAAAUAAAAGUGGAGUGUGAGCUAUGUGCCAUUGCUUCUAUCAUCAGAAUAGAGAGAAAGCAAGAGUUUCAGCAGUUCAUCGUAAGCAACGCAUGCACUCAAAUUGUAGCCCGAGACCAAUGUGCACAAUUCAUAUAUGUGUGUCUCAGUGCAAUCUCCGUUUAUGUGUUUUGCAGCAACCAUGUUUAAAGCACACCAUUUUUAUUACUAUGUGGUAUCAAAUAUAUGUUUUCCAUAGCGAAGGUGUGGGUUGUUAUUAAAGGGCAGUCAACAACUUUAAGAUUAGUAGUUCUAACAUCAGAAAUCAAUCCUACUAUCAUCCCUAUUCUUCUUCCAAAAGGGCUAAACUUUAAUCCAAUUAUUUAGGCUAUGAUAGAAUAAUAAUGUUGUAUGUGUUGUUACUUUGUUGUUACUUGAUUCCGACGGCUAUGACGGAAUAUCUCUUUCAAAAACACAUCAGUUUUCUCGACCCACUCUGUUGUUACUUGAUUCCGACGGAAAAACCCACUAUACAUCCACUGAUUAUCUGCCAUCUCUGCUUUAUUGGAAGCCACACAACAAAAUUAAGGAUUCAUUUAAAUUACUCACAUCACUCCACCGGAGGCAACACCAGAAACCCUCUAAAUUCCACCAAAUGAAAAAAAUUAGGUCAUCACAUCACAUAUAAAGCAUCAUCACACAUUACAUCAUAUCACAAACUUGUUUUAGCAAGACCAACUUGAUGAAGUAACCACUCAUCAUAUCCAAAUUUUAACUUUCGUCUAUCUAUCUUCACAAAAAAAAUUACUCUUCCCUCUCAUCUCAUCUUCACAAUACAUAUAUCUAUAAUAUUGAGUAUGUAUCUAAAAACAUAGUAAAACUACACAAAUAUCCAUUCAUCUACCAUCUAUCUAUCUCACAUUGUGCACUUAAUUUUUUUCACAUUUAUACUCUCUUUCAUUUCAUUCAUCUAUCUAACAUCCAUCUAUCUAAUCAUCUAUUACUAUAAAUAUAUGCAUUCAUCUACAACAUCGCUACAAAAAAAGGUACAAAAAUCUUACCUACGGAUGAGGGGGCGACCACCGGAGCAGGGGGCGGCCGGUCGGGGCAGGGGAUGACCACCGGAGCGGCAGGGGGCGGUCGCCGGAGGGGCCGGCCGGUCGGACCAGCAGGGGGCCGGCCAGGCUAGGCCAUGGGCCGGCCGGGGCGGCGUCCACGCAGGGAGGGNNNNNNNNNNNNNNNNNNNNNNNNNNNNNNNNNNNNNNNNNNNNNNNNNNNNNNNNNNNNNNNNNNNNNNNNNNNNNNNNNNNNNNNNNNNNNNNNNNNNNNNNNNNNNNNNNNNNNNNNNNNNNNNNNNNNNNNNNNNNNNNNNNNNNNNNNNNNNNNNNNNNNNNNNNNNNNNNNNNNNNNNNNNNNNNNNNNNNNNNNNNNNNNNNNNNNNNNNNNNNNNNNNNNNNNNNNNNNNNNNNNNNNNNNNNNNNNNNNNNNNNNNNNNNNNNNNNNNNNNNNNNNNNNNNNNNNNNNNNNNNNNNNNNNNNNNNNNNNNNNNNNNNNNNNNNNNNNNNNNNNNNNNNNNNNNNNNNNNNNNNNNNNNNNNNNNNNNNNNNNNNNNNNNNNNNNNNNNNNNNNNNNNNNNNNNNNNNNNNNNNNNNNNNNNNNNNNNNNNNNNNNNNNNNNNNNNNNNNNNNNNNNNNNNNNNNNNNNNNNNNNNNNNNNNNNNNNNNNNNNNNNNNNNNNNNNNNNNNNNNNNNNNNNNNNNNNNNNNNNNNNNNNNNNNNNNNNNNNNNNNNNNNNNNNNNNNNNNNNNNNNNNNNNNNNNNNNNNNNNNNNNNNNNNNNNNNNNNNNNNNNNNNNNNNNNNNNNNNNNNNNNNGCGAGUGCAGCGACGGCAGCAGGGGGCGGGGUCGCGGGGAGUGGGAGAGAUUGAGUGGUUGAGGGUCGACGCGAGGGGAUAAGGCAAACUAUGCCGACGGCUGCCGUCGGCAUAGAUGCCACGUCACCGAUCCCCGUGACACGUCCCCUAUGGUCGCAGCUAUGCCGUCGGCAUAGUUAUAUAUUUCAUUUUUUAAAUGUUUUUAGUAGUUCAUAUUUUUCAAUUUUAAAAUAUUUUUAGUAGUUCAUAUUUUUCCGUCUUUAUGUUUUUUAUUUCAUAUAGAUUAUUUAAUGUUUUUUCUAGUUAUAUUUUUUCUUUUUUAUGUUUUUUAUGUAUUAUUAUUUCAUAUGGAUUUUUAAUGUUUUUUUAACCGCUCGGCCCUCUCCUCUCCCGGAACCACACAGAGGGGAGGGGAGGCGCCGAAGUUGACUAGCUUCGUCCGCCGAGGGCGAGGCUGUGGCCUGGUCGCGGGUCUGGGAGCGCGUGGCCGCCGACUCGUCGUCCGUGAGGGGGGGCACGCCCCAGAGACGCGUGCCGCCUCUUCAGACAAACCACCACACCACCCCGCAUGUAUGAGGGCCUGGUGCGAUGCUUCGGUGGCAUUGCUACCCCCCCAGGGCCCCCGUCCCGCCUAACCCUGUAGCGUUUGACCAUGGGAUCUAGCCCUUUGACUUUGCACGGACGGGCUUUAACCAGCGGACCUCCCCACCCGGUUGUGUUAGGUCAGCCCAUAGGAACACUUUGGAGCAACAACCGGGCCAGACCCACAGCAAGAUCCCCUUCGUGUAGACCCGACGCGUCUGUUUCCCCACUCCAGGAGCCGGCGGCGGCGCUGUCCGUGAGAGGGGGGCACAACGCGGACACGCGUGUCGGGCGUUUGGAACUGCCACAACACUUCCAGACUUGUGAGAGGCCGCCUACGCAAGAUUUGGCGGCAUGCUAGCCCCCGUAGGCCGCCGGCCACAGCCGUAGACACGCGAAGGGCAAUCCGCGUAGAGGGAAUUUUUCGGAUACUUCUCCAUCACCAAAAAUUAUGAAAAAAUACCAACAUUCCUAUAGCACAUGUGCCCACGUCGUGCAAAAAAACUCAUGAUUUUAUCGCGCUCCGAGUAUUUAAUAAUAUUCACGCCGCAUCGUUACCGCAGAACGUCUACUACUGUGUCAUCGCCGUCCGUGAGGGGGGGCCACGCCCCGGAGACGCGUGCCGCCUCUUCGGACAUGCCACCACACCACCCCGCAUGUAUGAGGGCCCAGUGCGACGCUCCAGUGGUAUUGCUACCCCCCAGGGCCCCCGUCCGGCCUAACCCUGUAGCGUUUGACCACGGGAUCUAGCCCUUUGACUUUGCACGGACGGGCUUUGACCAGCGGACCUCCCAGCCCGGUUGUGUUAGGUCAGCCCGUAGGAAUACUUUGGAGGGACAACCGGGCCAGACCCACAGCAAGAUCCCCUCCGUGUAGACCCGACGGGUCCGUUUCCCCACUCCAGGUGGCGGUGGCAGCGCCGUCCGUGAGGGGGGGCACACCCCGGACACGCGUGCCAGGCGUUUGCAACCGCCACAACACUUCCAGACUUGUGAGAGGCCGCCUACGCAAGAUUUGGCGGCAUGCUAGCCCCCGUAGGCUGCCGGCCACAGCCGUAGACGCGCGAAGGGCAAUCCGCGUAGAGGGAAUUUUUCGGAUACUUCUCCAUCACCAAAAAUUAUGAAAAAGUACCAUCGUUCCUAUAGCACAUGUGCCCACGUCGUGCAAAAAACUCAUGAUUUUAUCGCGCUCCGAGUAUUUAAUAAUAUUCACGCCGCAUCGUUACCGCAGAACGUCUACUACCGUGUCAUCGCCGUCCGUGAGGGGGGGUAUGCCCCAGAGAUGCGUGCCGCCUCUUUGGACAUGCCACCACACCACCCCGCAUGUAUGAGGCCCCGGUGCGACGCUCCAGUGGCAUUGCUACCCCCCCAGGGCCCCCGUCCCGCCUAACCCUGUAGCGUUUGACCACGGGAUCUAGCUCUUUGACUUUGCACGUUCGGGCUUUGACCAGCGGACCUCCCCGCCCGGUUGUGUUAGGUCAGCCCAUAGGAACACUUUGGAGCAACAACUGGGCCAGACCCACAGCAAGAUCCCCUCCGUGUAGACCCGACGCGUCUGUUUCCCCACUCCAGGUGCCGGCGGCGGCGCCGUCCGUGAGGGAGGGCACACCCCGGACACGCGUGCCGGGCGUUUGCAACCGCCACAACACUUCCAGACUUGUGAGAGGCCGCCUACGCAAGAUUUGGCGGCAUGCUAGCCCCCGUAGGCCGCCGGCCACAGCCGUAGACGUGCGAAGGGCAAUCCGCGUAGAGGGAUUUUUUCCGAUACUUCUCCAUCACCAAAAAUUAUGAAAAAAUACUAUCGUUCCUAUAGCACAUGUGCCCACGUCGUGCAAAAAAACUCAUGAUUUUAUCGCGCUCCGAGUAUUUAAUAAUAUUCACGCCGCGUCGUUACCACAGAACGUCUACUACCGUGUCAUCGUCGUCCGUGAGGGGGGGCCACGCCCCCGAGACGCGUGCCACCUCUUCGGACAUCCCACCACACCACCCCGCAUGUAUGAGGGCCCAGUGCGAUGCUCCCAUGGCCUUGCUACCCCCCAGGGCCCCCGUCCCGCCUAACCCUGUAGCGUUUGACCACGGGAUCUAGCCCUUUGACUUUGCACGGACGGGCUUUGACCAGCGGACCUCCCCGCCCGGUUGUGUUAGGUCAGCCCAUAGGAACACUUUGGAGCAACAACCGGGCCAGACCCACAGCAAGAUCGCCUCCGUGUAGACCCGACGCAUCCGUUUCCCCACUCCAGGUGCCGGCGGUGGCGCCGUCCGUGAGGGGGGGCACACCCUGGACACGUGUGCCGGGCGUUUGCAACCGCCACAACACUUCCAGACUUGUGAGAGGCCGCCUACGCAAGAUUUCGCGGCAUGCUAGCCCCCGUAGGCCGCCGGCCACAGCCGUAGACGCGCGAAGGGCAAUCCGUGUAGAGGGAAUUUUUCGGAUACUUCUCCAUCACCAAAAAUUAUGAAAAAAUACCAACGUUCCUAUAGCACAUGUGCCCACGUCGUGCAAAAAAACUCAUGAUUUUAUCGCGCUCCGAGUAUUUAAUAAUAUUCACGCCGCAUCGUUACCGCAGAACGUCUACUACCGUGUCAUCGCCGUCCGUGAGGGGGGCCACGCCUCGGAGAUGCGUGCCGCCUCUUCGGACAUGCCACCACACCACCCCGCAUGUAUGAGGGCCCAGUGCGACGCUCCGGUGGCAUUGCUACCCCCCAAGGCCCCCGUCCGGCCUAACCCUGUAGCGUUUGACCAUGGGAUCUAGCCCUUUGACUUUGCACGGACGGGCUUUGACCAGCGGACCUCCCAGCCCGGUUGUGUUAGGUCAGCCUGUAGGAACACUUUGGAGCAACAACCGGGCCAGACCCACAGCAAGAUCCCCUCCGUGUAGACCCGACGCGUCCGUUUCCCCACUCCAGGUGGCGAUGGCAGCGCCGUCCGUGAGGGAGGGCACACCCCGGACACGCGUGCCGGGCGUUUGCAACCGCCACAACACUUCCAGACUUGUGAGAGGCCGCCUACGCAAGAUUUGGCGGCAUGCUAGCCACCGUAGGCCGCCGGCCACAGCCGUAGACGUGCGAAGGGCAAUCCGCGUAGAGGGAACUUUUCGGAUACUUCUCCAUCUCCAAAAUAAAUGAAAAAAUACCAUCGUUCCUAUAGCACAUGUGCCCACGUGGUGCAAAAAAACUCAUGAAUUUAUCGCGCUCCGAGUAUUUAAUAAUAUACACGCCGCAUCGUUACCGCAGAACAUCUACUACCGUGUCAUCGCCGUCCGUGAGGGGGGGGGCACUUUGGAGCAACAACCGGGCCAGACCCACAGCAAGAUCCCAUCCGUGUAGACCCGACGCGUCCGUUUCCCACCUCCAGGUGUCGGUGGCGGCGUCCGGGUCCGUGAGGGGGGGCACACCCCGGACACGUGUGCCGUGCGUUUGCAACCGCCACAACACUUCCAGACUUGUGAGAGGCCGCCUACGCAAGAUUUGGCGGCAUGCUAGCCCCCGUAGGCCGCCGGCCACGAUCAUAGACGAGCGAAGGGCAAUCCGCGUAGAGGGAAUUUUUCGGAUACUUCUCCAUCACCAAAAAUUAUGAAAAAAUACCAUCGUUCCUAUAGCACAUGUGCCCACGUCAUGCAAAAAAACUCAUGAUUUUAUCGCGCUCCGAGUAUUUAAUAAUAUUCACGCCGCAUCGUUAUCGCAGAACGUCUACUACCAUGUCAUCGCCGUCCGUGAGGGGGGGCACGCCCCGGAGACGUGGGCCGCCUCUUCGGACAUGCCACCACACCACCCCGCAUGUAUGAGGGCCCGGUGCGACGCUCCUGUGGCAUUGCUACCCCAGGGGCCCCGUCCCGCCUAACCCAGUAGCGUUUGACCACGGGAUCUAGCCCUUUGACUUUGCACGGACGGGCUUUGACCAGCAGACCUCCCCGCCCGGUUGUGUUAGGCCAGCCAUACGAACAAUUUGGAGCAACAACCAGGCCAGACCCACAGCAAGAUCCCCUCCGUGUAGACCCGACGCGUUCGUUUACCCUUCCAGGUGCUGGCGGCGGCGCCGUCCGUGAGGGGGGGGGGGGCACACCCCGGACAUGCGUGCCGGGCGUUUGCAACCGCCACAACACUUCCAGACUUGUGAGAGGCCACCUAUGCAAGAUUUGGCGGCAUGCUAGCCCCCGUAGGCUGCCGGCCACAGCCGUAGACGCGAGAAGGGCAAUCCGCGUAGAGGGAAUUUUUCGGAUACUUCUCCAUCACCAACAAUUAUGAAAAAAUACCAUCGUUCCUAUAGCACAUGUGCCCACGUCGUGCAAUAAAACUCAUGAUUUUAUCGCGCUCCGAGUAUUUAAUAAUAUUCACGCCGCAUCGUUACCGCAGAACGUCUACUACCGUGUCAUCGCCGUCCGUGAGGGGGGGUAUGCCCCAGAGAUGCGUGCCGCCUCUUUGGACAUGCCACCACACCACCCCGCAUGUAUGAGGCCCCGGUGCGACGCUCCAGUGGGAUUGCUACCCCCCCAGGGCCCCCGUCCCGCCUAACCCUGUAGCGUUUGACCACGGGAUCUAGCUCUUUGACUUUGCACGUUCGGGCUUUGACCAGCGGACCUCCCCGCCCGGUUGUGUUAGGUCAGCCCAUAGGAACACUUUGGAGCAACAACUGGGCCAGACCCACAGCAAGAUCCCCUCCGUGUAGACCCGACGCGUCUGUUUCCCCACUCCAGGUGCCGGCGGCGGCGCCGUCCGUGAGGGAGGGCACACCCCGGACACGCGUGCCGGGCGUUUGCAACCGCCACAACACUUCCAGACUUGUGAGAGGCCGCCUACGCAAGAUUUGGCGGCAUGCUAGCCCCCGUAGGCCGCCGGCCACAGCCGUAGACGUGCGAAGGGCAAUCCGCGUAGAGGGAUUUUUUCGGAUACUUCUCCAUCACCAAAAAUUAUGAAAAAAUACUAUCGUUCCUAUAGCACAUGUGCCCACGUCGUGUAAAAAAACUCAUGAUUUUAUCGCGCUCCGAGUAUUUAAUAAUAUUCACGCCGCGUCGUUACCACAGAACGUCUACUACCGUGUCAUCGUCGUCCGUGAGGGGGGGCCACGCCCCCGAGACGCGUGCCACCUCUUCGGACAUCCCACCACACCACCCCGCAUGUAUGAGGGCCCAGUGCGAUGCUCCCAUGGCCUUGCUACCCCCCAGGGCCCCCGUCCCGCCUAACCCUGUAGCGUUUGACCACGGGAUCUAGCCCUUUGACUUUGCACGGACGGGCUUUGACCAGCGGACCUCCCCGCCCGGUUGUGUUAGGUCAGCCCAUAGGAACACUUUGGAGCAACAACCGGGCCAGACCCACAGCAAGAUCGCCUCCGUGUAGACCCGACGCGUCCGUUUCCCCACUCCAGGUGCCGGCGGUGGCGCCGUCCGUGAGGGGGGCACACCCUGGACACGUGUGCCGGGCGUUUGCAACCGCCACAACACUUCCAGACUUGUGAGAGGCCGCCUACGCAAGAUUUGGCGGCAUGCUAGCCCCCGUAGGCCGCCGGCCACAGCCGUAGACGCGCGAAGGGCAAUCCGCGUAGAGGGAAUUUUUCGGAUACUUCUCCAUCACCAAAAAUUAUGAAAAAAUACCAACAUUCCUAUAGCACAUGUGCCCACGUCGUGCAAAAAAACUCAUGAUUUUAUCGCGCUCCGAGUAUUUAAUAAUAUUCACGCCGCAUCGUUACCGCAGAACGUCUACUACCGUGUCAUCGCCGUCCGUGAGGGGGGCCACGCCUCGGAGAUGCGUGCCGCCUCUUCGGACAUGCCACCACACCACCCCGCAUGUAUGAGGGCCCAGUGCGACGCUCCGGUGGCAUUGCUACCCCCCAAGGCCCCCGUCCGGCCUAACCCUGUAGCGUUUGACCAUGGGAUCUAGCCCUUUGACUUUGCAUGGACGGGCUUUGACCAGCGGACCUCCCAGCCCGGUUGUGUUAGGUCAGCCUGUAGGAACACUUUGGAGCAACAACCGGGCCAGACCCACAGCAAGAUCCCCUCCGUGUAGACCCGACGCGUCCGUUUCCCCACUCCAGGUGGCGGUGGCAGCGCCGUCCGUGAGGGGGGGCACACCCCGGACACGCGUGCCGGGCGUUUGCAACCGCCACAACACUUCCAGACUUGUGAGAGGCCGCCUACGCAAGAUUUGGCGGCAUGCUAGCCACCGUAGGCCGCCGGCCACAGCCGUAGACGCGCGAAGGGCAAUCCGCGUAGAGGGAAAUUUUCGGAUACUUCUCCAUCUCCAAAAUAAAUGAAAAAAUACCAUCGUUCCUAUAGCACAUGUGCCCACGUGGUGCAAAAAAACUCAUGAUUUUAUCGCGCUCCGAGUAUUUAAUAAUAUACACGCCGCAUCGUUACCGCAGAACAUCUACUACCGUGUCAUCGCCGUCCGUGAGGGGGGGGGGCACUUUGGAGCAACAACCGGGCCAGACCCACAGCAAGAUCCCAUCCGUGUAGACCCGACGCGUCCCUUUCCCACCUCCAGGUGUCGGUGGCGGCGUCCGGGUCCGUGAGGGGGGGCACACCCCGGACACGUGUGCCGUGCGUUUGCAACCGCCACAACACUUCCAGACUUGUGAGAGGCCGCCUACGCAAGAUUUGGCGGCAUGCUAGCCCCCGUAGGCCGCCGGCCACGAUCGUAGACGAGCGAAGGGCAAUCCGCGUAGAGGGAAUUUUUCGGAUACUUCCCCAUCACCAAAAAUUAUGAAAAAAUACCAUCGUUCCUAUAGCACAUGUGCCCACGUCAUGCAAAAAAACUCAUGAUUUUAUCGCGCUCCGAGUAUUUAAUAAUAUUCACGCCGCAUCGUUAUCGCAGAACGUCUACUACCAUGUCAUCGCCGUCCGUGAGGCGGGGCACGCCCCGGAGACGUGGGCCGCCUCUUCGGACAUGCCACCACACCACCCCGCAUGUAUGAGGGCCCGGUGCGACGCUCCUGUGGCAUUGCUACCCCAGGGGCCCCGUCCCGCCUAACCCAGUAGCGUUUGACCACGGGAUCUAGCCCUUUGACUUUGCACGGACGGGCUUUGACCAACAGACCUCCCCGCCCGGUUGUGUUAGGCCAGCCAUACGAACAAUUUGGAGCAACAACCAGGCCAGACCCACAGCAAGAUCCCCUCCGUGUAGACCCGACGCGUUCGUUUACCCUUCCAGGUGCUCGCGGCGGCGCCGUCCGUGAGGGGGGGGGCACACCCCGGACACGCGUGCCGGGCGUUUGCAACCGCCACAACACUUCCAGACUUGUGAGAGGCCACCUAUGCAAGAUUUGGCGGCAUGCUAGCCCCCGUAGGCUGCCGGCCACAGCCGUAGACGCGAGAAGGGCAAUCCGCGUAGAGGGAAUUUUUCGGAUACUUCUCCAUCACCAGCAAUUAUGAAAAAAUACCAUCGUUCCUAUAGCACAUGUGCCCACGUCGUGCAAUAAAACUCAUGAUUUUAUCGUGCUCCAAGUAUUUAAUAAUAUUCACGCCGCAUCGUUACCGCAGAACGUCUACUACCGUGUCAUCGCCAUCCGUGAGGGGGGGCCACGCCCCGGAGACGCGUGCCGCCUCUUCGGACAUGCCACCACACCACCCCGCAUGUAUGAGGGCCCGGUGCGACGCUCCGGUGGCAUUGCUACCCCCAGGGCCCCUGUCCCGCCUAACCCUGUAGCGUUUGACCACGGGAUCUAGCCCUUUGACUUUGCACGGACGGGCUUUGACCAGUGGACCUCCCCACCCGGUUGUGUUAGGUCAGCCCAUAGGAACACUUUGAAGCAACAACCGGGCCAGACCCACAGCAAGAUCCCCUCCGUGUAGACCCGACGCGUCCGUUUCCCCACUCUAGGUGCCGGCGGCGGCGCCGUCCGUGAGGGGGGGCACACCCCGGACACGUGUGCCGGGCGUUUGCAACCGCCACAACACUUCCAGACUUGUGAGAGGCCGCCUACGCAAGAUUUGGCGGCAUGCUAGCCCCCGUAGGCCGCCGGCCACAGCCGUAGACGCGCGAAGGGCAAUCCGCGUAGAGGGAAUUUUUCGGAUACUUCUCCAUCACCAAAAAUUAUGAAAAAAUACCAUCGUUCCCAUAGCACAUGUGCCCACGUCGUGCAAAAAAACUCAUGAAUUUAUCGCGCUUCGAGUAUUUAAUAAUAUUCACGCCGCAUCAUUAUCGCAGAACGUCUACUACCGUGUCAUCACCGUCCGUGAGGGGGGGCCAUGCCCCGGAGACGCGUGACGCCUCUUCGGACAUGCCACCACACCACCCCGCAUGUGUGAGGGCCCGGUGCGACGCUCAAGUGGCAUUGCUACCCCAGGGGCCCUGUCCCGCCUAACCCUGUAGCGUUUGACCACGGGAUCUAGCCCUUUGACUUUGCACGGACGGGCUUUGAACAACGGACCUCCCCGCCCGGUUGUGUUAGGUCAGCCCAUAGGAACACUUUGGAGCAACAACCGGGCCAGACCCACAACAAGAUCCCCUCCGUGUAGAUCCGACGCGUCCGUUACCCCACUCCAGGUGCCGGUGGCGGCGCCGUCCGUGAGGGGGCACACCCCGAACACGCGUGCCGGGUGUUUGCAACCGCGACAACACUUCCAGAUUUGUGAGAGGCCGCCUACGCAAGAUUUGGCGGCAUUCUAGCCCCCGUAGGCCGCCGGCCACAUCCGUAGACGUGCGAAGGGCAAUCGGCGUAGAGGAAUUUUUUCGGAUACUUCUCCGUUACCAAAAUUAUGAAAAAAAUACCAUCGUUCCUAUAGCACAUGUGCCCACGUCGUGUAAAAAAACUCAUUAUUUUAUCGCGCUCCGAGUAUUUAAUAAUAUUCACGCCGCAUCGUUACCGCAGAACGUCUACUACCGUGUCAUCGCCGUCCGUGAGGGGGGGCCAUGCCCCCGAGACGCGUGCCGCCUCUUCGGACAUGCCACCACACCACCCCACAUGUAUGAGGGCCCGGUGCGAUGCUCCCGUGGCAUUGCUACCCCCCCCCCAGGGCCCCCGUCCCGCCUAACCCUGUAUUGUUUGACCAUGGGAUCUAGCCCUUUGACUUUGCACGGACGGGCUUUGACCAGCGGACCUCCCCGCCCGGUUGUGUUAGGUCAGCCCAUAGAAACACUUUGGAGCAACAACCGGGCCAGACCCACAGCAAGAUCCCCUCCGUGUAGACCCGACGCGUCCGUUUCCCCACUCCCGGUGCCGGCGAUGGCGCCGUCCGUGAGGGGGCCAAACCUCGGAGACGCGUGUCGCCUCUUCAGACAUACCACCACACCACCCCGCAUGUAUGAGGGGCCAGUGCGACGCUCCGGUGGCAUUGCUACCCCCUCAGGGCCCCCGUCCCGCCUAACCCUGGAGCGGUUGACCACGAGAUCUAGCCCUUUGAGUUUUCACGGACGGGCUUUGAACAGUGGACCUCUCCACCCGGUUGUGUCAAGUCAGCUCAGAGGGACACCUGGGAGCAACAUCCGGCCCAAACCGACAGCUACAUCCCCUCCGUGUAGACCCGAUGCGUCCGUUUUCCCCCUCCAGGUGCCGGCGGUGGCGCCAUCCGUUAGGGGGGCCACGCCCCGGAGAUGCGUGCCGCCUCUUCGAACAUGCCACAACACCACCCGGUUGUGGUAGGUCAUCCCAUAGAAACACUUGAGAGCAACGUCCCCUCCGUAUAGACCCGAUGCAGCUGUUUCCGCCCUCCAAAUGCUGGCGGCGGCGCCGUCCGUGAGGGGGGCACACCGCGGACGUGAGGGGGUCACACUCCGGAGACGGGUGCCGGGCGUUUGCAACCGCCACUCAACUUCUAUUGCAUAGCUGUUUUUGAUUUUAAUAAAAUUUAAGGACCUAUAUUCAAAAGAACAUGACAGCAUAUUAUUAAUGUGCUCGAAAAAAAUACAAACUAUAUAUAUAUAUUCAUAAUCUAUGGAAAAAAUUACAAACUACGUAUAUAUUCAUAUAAUACAUAAAAAAGCAUGAACACAUAUUUUUGAAAAAGCAUAAAAACAUAUGCAAAAAACUGUAUGUAAAAAAAGCAUUAAAACAUAUGGAAAAAAAGUAUGUAAAAAAUAGCUAUGCCGACGGCAAAGCCGUCGGCAUAGAUACGGCAGAGUUCUGGUGGGCGCCGUGCCGCGGACCGGUGACGUGGCAGCUAUGCCGAUGGCUACCGUCGGCAUACCUACGCUGUGGAUCGGUGACGUGGCAUGCGGAGAUAUGCCAACGGCCGCCCGUCCAGACCGUCGGCAUAGGUUUGACGGCGUUAGCCACUAGUCACGGGUGGGGUCGCCGGGCCCACAGUUAUACCGACGGCCGAUCAAUGCCGACGGCUGCUGUCGGCAUGUCUGCGGCUAGGUCGGCGGCCGUUCUGUGCCGACGGCGGCCGUCGGCAUAGGUCCACGUAACCCGACGGCCAGUUUAAGCCGGCGGCCAGGACUGGGCUGUCGGCAUAUCUCGAACUAGGCCGACGGCAGCCGUAGGCAUAACUUUGGCCGUCGGCGUAUGCCCGUUUUCCGGUAGUGUAAAUAUCAGUUGGCAACUACUAAUAUUGUGUCAAAGUGAUUGCUAGUUGAUAGCCUUUUCAGUGAUUGGAUAAAUAUAUGGAAUCACUUUUCUGAUGUAUGCUUUGGCAAACUUUUCUGAUGCAUGCUUUAAAUGGAAGGGAUAAGUAUAUUUUUCGUUCUUAAACUUUUGUGAUAGUUUAGAAAUCGUCCCUCAACUUUAAAACCAUUAAAACUUAGUUCGUCAACUAUUUAAAUCGAAUAUGUUUCGUCCCUUAGGUGGUUUUAGCAUGAUGUGGAUCCGGGUUUGAUUAAAAGUGGCCAUGUGGCCUGGUUUUAUGACGUAGCGUCCCCUGACCCAGAGCUCGCGCGCCGGUGCGAUUCAUAGGGAAGCACAUGGCAGGUCUCAGGGUCGACGAUCUUGGCGACUUGGCCUCGGUGUUGGUCGGCAGGAGGCCGGCCGUCCCGCAUCGGCGGCUCUCCUCGGCUGAGUCUGUAGAGACGCCGAUGGCCGUGCUCUUGAUCAGCCCGUACCCCCCGCAGGAUCUCCGUCGACACCAUGCAGAGGAACGUCUCCAUGGUGUCGGAGUCCUCGAGGCGGAGGCUGUUCGUUCCCAUCUGGACAAUGGAUAUUGUAGAACAAGAGCUAUAGGAAUCGAUAGAUCGCACAGGUUUACAUCUGCGCCGUGCUGUACAACAACCUUAGCUAAAGAUCAGUUAAUUACCCCUACUAGCUAGCGCUGCCGAUCCUGUGCAGUUGAGCGCACAAUAGAAUGUGCGUGCAUGUGAGGAGGCAACCUCCUUGGCGAUCUCGGGGGCGGCGUUGAGCAGGUUGGUAGUGGUGACGACAGAGGCGAGCGCCGCCACGCUGGAAGUGGAUCGAGUUGGGGUAAAAACCAGGCCACGUGGCCAGUUUAAUCAAAACCGAUUUCACAUCAUACUGAAACCACAUGAAGGGACGAAACUUAUCCGGUUUAAAUAGUUUAUUAUAGGAACUUAGUUUUAGUGGUUUUAAAGUUAAGGGAUGAUUUCUAAACUAUCACGAAAGUUCAAGGACGAAAAAUAUACUUAUCCCUAAAUAGAAUGAAUUGAUUCGUGCAAUCAGAGAUGUAUUGCUUGUGAGCUUACAUCAACUUGUAAAUGUUGAUUCUCACUUUUCUAUUUGAAAUGGGCUAAUAUAUUCUUGAGUUAUCAUUUUUUUGUUCUUGAUUUAUGGGCAUGGGAAUAUUGAUAGUGGGAAAUGGGAGUAACAACGCAUAGCUAUGAACCUUCGGAUGAAUGAAUAUCUUAUUGGUAUUGAUGAACAGUCUCUGCACUCUUUUAGAAUCCACUGAUAUAAUUCAUAUAUUCUCUAAUAACUGUGAGGAGUAUCCCAUGGUUAGCUAGCAUAGCAAGAAAGGAGCAAAUAGCAUAAAACUACUACUUUACAGGCUAGGCUUCCAAAAAACUACCGGAUUUUAUUUUUUUCUUAGAUAACUACUAAAUGGGUGGUCUGCUAUUUCAAAAAACCCAGAUCGUCGAGUAUUUAUCAGUUGAUCACGAUUAUGACAGGUUGGGCCCAAGGCUAAACAAACUGUUAGUUUGACCGUUAACUUACAUGUGGGGCACAUAUGUAAGUUUCCUCUUCCUCUUCUCUUUCUUCUUUCUCUCUCUCUUCUCUUCCUCCUCUGUGCCUCCUGUGCCAAACCUCUCCUCUCCCGAGCCGGCGGCCCCCUUCCCCUCCCGAGCCGGCGACCCCCUUCCCCUCCCAAGCCGGCGAACCUGCCCCCCCAAGCCGGAGCUCCUGGUGGCGACGGUUGCGCCGAGGUCGGCCUCGCCCGCGGCACUCCAGCAGCGGUGCAGGCCAUCUGCGUCGAGCUUGAGGAGCUCGCGCCAGGGAAUGGCGGCGGCCGCGGGCGAGGCACGGCGUGGCGGCGGCCGCCGCGGGGCAGGUGAGGCAUGGUCUGGCGGCAGCCGCAGGGCAGGCAAGGCACCGCAUGGCGGCGGCCGCAGGCGAGGCACUGCAUGGCGGCCGCUGCGGGCGUGGCUCGCCGGCCGGAGGAGGCAGCGCUACCCUGCCGAGCGGGGUCGAGCUCCAGGCUGCCACGGGACCCGAUUGCUUUUUUCAGAAAACUCAUAGGGACUUGAUUGCCUUUUCAGAAAACUUGUAGGGACCCAAUUGCUUUUUACAAAACUGACAUAUGGGACCCAGAUGUAAGUUAACGGUCAAAGUAAAUGGUCAAACAAACGGUUAUCUUACACGUGGGCCCAACCUGGCAUAAUCGUGAUGAACUGAUAAAGACUCAACGUUUUGGGUUUUUUGAAACAGACGACCACCCAUUUGUUAAUUAUCUAAGAAAAAAUAAAAUUCGAUAGUUUUUUGAAACCCUAGCCUGUAAAAUAGUAGUUUUACGCUAUUUACUCGCAAGAAAAAGAAGAAAAUGAAUGACUACAAAUGUACUGUAUGAUACAAACUUCUGAGUAUACGUACGUUAUUUUAUCGUUGAAUCGAUGUGAUCCGUACCAUAUAGGUAUUCAACGGCGGAGCUAUGUACAAGUGUGAGGGGGCCGUGGCCCCCCAGCCAAAAUGAGAUUUAAUUUUUACCAGGUAGUAAUGGCCCCUGGAGCUUUGUGAAAAGUCCAUCCUGACAUGCACAUGCACACACAAUCGCAUCAUCAGGCUUCAUCCACACUGCUGGCUCGGUUGCUUCACCUCUAUUUCCAACCAUGCUUAGCAAGGCUGGUAGCAUCCAUCGACGAACUAGGCGACCAGCCACCCUGCCGCGGCAUAGCCUCGACGGCUCGACGCCGGCUAGAAGCUCGCACUGAUCUACAUGCGCCGUGGGCAAACAUCCCGGCAACGAGGGAGGGGGGACAAGACCGCGCUUGAGACUGUUGUCUUCGGCUCCCACUGGCCAAUCCGGUGGCCGUCCAUGUCGGCCACCCGGCCGGCGACACCGGCCGCUCCGCCCCAUACGAAUUUUGCUACUGGAUUUUGUAGGUGCCAUGUGCCCAGCUCAAUUGCAACGUUGAAAUAUUGGAAAUUGGGUCCCCGUGUGCAGUGUUGCAUGUACGAUGAAAUUAGGGAAACUGAGGGCAAAGCUAGAAUUUGGAGGCUGAAAUUUGUUGUAAUUUGGAUCCCUGUGUGCAGUGUUGAAAUAUUGGAAUAUUGGAAUUUGGAUCCCCGUGUGUAGUGUGCAUGUAUGACGAAAUUUCUUCUGUUGAUCUGUCCUCUUAUAGUUGUUAAUUGGCUCACAGAAUGUCAUUGACGUUUGAAUUUGAGCUUUACUAGUAAGCGGCACGUGCAACGCACGUCCUAACAAAUAUAAAUAUUAAUACCCAUUGUAUUAUUGGAGAUUGUACAUUUUCACUAUAAUUUUAAAUAUUUUGUUAAUUUCAAUAACAAUCAGGCACACAAUGUUGAGACAGUACUAUCUAAAAUACAUCACGCAUACUUAAAUAUUAGAAAUAUCUUACGCUCAAAAUCAUUUGUUUGAAACAAAUGCUCCAAUAAAUAUUUUCACCCAUUGUUUAGAUCAUACAUAGUGUCGUGGAUACCCUACCGGUGCAAGGUUCAAAUCAUGAAAGAGCCAUACCUUUACACAUUCCAGCAAAUGAUAUCGAAAGAAUGAACUUACAGUCACAUAUACCAUUACAAUAACAGAAAUUCAGCAGAAAUCACCAUUCAACUAAUAAACAGCAAUGCGCCCCACCUAACAAAUGCUAUUAGAAAUCAGGGUAAGCAGCUACUAUUUUAGCAAAUUAAUUAGAAUCCAUAGUUUCAUACAGAUUACAGAGGUAAACACGCGUCCUAGAAAGACAGUCUCAACAGCAUCGACAUAUUGUCACAACAUGAAUUCGUCACCACUCCUGACUCCCGAGCAUGCGAACAACAGGACCACACAAACCAGAAGCUUGCGAAGAGAAUUGACAAAUCAGUGUUUUAAUC
rnacentral:lncRNA from 1 species